AUCUAACCCCGACAGGAUCGAUAUCCUUUGCCUGGCUUUUUUUAGACAGGUAAAGAUAAAGAGUAUGGCGGGAACAAAU
rnacentral:sRNA from 22 species